rnacentral:tRNA from 1 species
GCGGGAAUAGCUCAGUGGUAGAGCACAACCUUGCAAAGGUUGGGGUCGCGAGUUCGAAUCUCGUUUCCCGCUCCA